GUCCUUGCAGCGGAUGAAAUAAAAGUUCGUUACACAGACUCCUUUUACUCCUCGAGCCUCGUCUAGCAAGCGAAGCAACGCGCAUCGCUUCGUCCUGAGAUUUCUCGUGAAGAGAAAACGAACACUAAGAGGAGUUCGUUCGUCUGAGAGAAUCCCUAGAAGUGGUUAUCGUAAUUCGUCAAGCGGCAUGCAAGUCGCCGAACCACCGGAACCGACAUCGCCAGCCGUAGCUGCUACUGCGGCGGUGCAGACGGUUCAGCCUUCUUCCCCUCGUUUGUUUUUUUCAUCCGCCGCAGCGGCGAGCCCUAACACUGCUUCACACCGCCGGAUCGCUAUCGCGGUUGAUCUGAGUGAUGAGAGUGCUUACGCCGUGAAGUGGGCGGUGCAGAACUAUCUCCGCCCAGGCGACGCUGUUAUUCUUCUCCAUGUCCGCCCCACCUCCGUACUUUACGGCGCGGAUUGGGGCUCGAUCGACCAUUCUGUCAUGGAGGCGGCCGAGGAGACCGAAUCCGAGAAGUCGAAGCAGAAGCUGGAAGAUGACUUCGAUGCCUUCACUACCACUAAGGCGCAGGAUCUAGCCCAUCCGCUUGUCGAGGCGCAGAUUCCUUUCAAGAUCCACAUCGUUAAAGACCAUGAUAUGAAGGAGAGGCUCUGCCUCGAAGUCGAGAGGAUUGGGUUUUGUGCUGUGAUUAUGGGAAGCAGGGGUGUCGGGGCAUCUACGAGGAGCAGCAAUGGGAGGCUUGGAAGCGUCAGCGAUUAUUGCGUUCACCACUGUGUCUGCCCCGUCAUCGUGGUGCGUUAUCCUGAUGAAGCUGGUGGUGGAGGCGUUGUGUUGGUUGGGGAUGGUGUUGCUGCGGCGGUAGACAAGGAGUUGGAACUGCAACCCGUGGAGGAGGAGGAGUUCCAUGUUGCUUCGGACGGACUGAAAGAUUGCCAAAGAUUAUAAGGUGGAUCAAUCUUGUGCUGUGCAGCUGCUCCAAUGCUAGGUUGUAGAGUGAGAAGAUAACAACUUCAUGGGCGCAAAUAUGCAAUGCCAGAAAAAAACCAGUCAGAGAUUGGAGAUUUGAACAUCGGAUAGCUAUAAGGGUACUCUGCCCUAUUCCACCAGUUUGGAUGAUUGCUGAUUGCCUUUUUUUUUCCUUUGGUUUCUAAGUUUUCUUCAGAAGCUUGCUUGCUGUAUGUCUGAUCUUUUGGAAACUGAAGUGUUUAUACUGUUGAGACAAUUUGUGCUUAUUUUAGGAUAUUACUGACUUCAA